rnacentral:rRNA from 1 species
GAGACAGCAGUAGCCGCGGGAAUACGAAGGGUGCAAGCGUUAAUCGGAAUUACUGGGCGUAAAGCGUGCGUAGGCGGUGAGUUAAGUCUGCUGUGAAAUCCCCGGGCUCAACCUGGGAAUGGCAGUGGAUACUGGCUCGCUAGAGUGUGUCAGAGGAUGGUGGAAUCCCCGGUGUAGCGGUGAAAUGCGUAGAGAUCGGGAGGAACAUCAGUGGCGAAGGCGGCCAUCUGGGACGACACUGACGCUGAGGCACGAAAGCGUAGGGAGCAAACAGGAUUAGAUACCCCUGUAGUCCCUGUCUCUUAUAC